CCUAUCGAAACCAGAAAUCGAUACACUCUCGCUCUCACUCUCACUCUCAGUCUUACUCUCUCUCGCUCUCGCUCUCGCCUCACUCUCUCUCUCCGCCUCUCACUCUCACUCUCUCUCCGCUCGAAGUCGCUACCUAGUCAGGUGGUUUACUCUCUCCGCUGCCUCAGCUCGAAGUCGCCGAAGCUUAAGGCCGCAUCAACUCUGGUCGAGCUAGAGAAUUGAUUAGUCUACAGGUAGAUUUGCCUAAAGUUCAAAGGGUUGAAGAAGGUCAGCUGGUGUUGGUUGGACUAAAUUAAGCUUGCCAUCCUUAAGAUUAUGGCACCUUCAACGCGAAGACCUUCAUCUCAAGCACUAGCAAUGGCUAAGAGAAUGAGAGAAAUUCAGUUGGGGACAAGGUGUACUACCAAGAGAUCAAAGGGAACCAGUAAGGCUUCAGUACACGGUGCAUCAAAGGCCUUGUCAUUGAAGCGACGACGUCAUUCGAAGGGUUCAAAAGCUGUCAGAAAAGAAGGACUGAAGUUGCUUAAACGAGGGUGUGUAACUAUGUGUCGCAUUGUGAGGUGAAAAAUUAUUGGAAAGAAGAUGACAGUUAGUUUUAACGAUAAAGGGGAACCCAUAGGGAAAGCUGGUAAAGAAAUGCAGUCAUA